UGGGGAAUAUUGGACAAUGGGCGAAAGCCUGAUCCAGCCAUGCCGCGUGAGUGACGAAGGCCUUAGGGUUGUAAAACUCUUUCGUCGGGGACGAUAAUGACGGUACCCGAAGAAGAAGCUCCGGCUAACUUCGUGCCAGCAGCCGCGGUAAUACGAAGGGAGCUAGCGUUGUUCGGAAUCACUGGGCGUAAAGCGCACGUAGGCGGAUAGUUAAGUCAGGGUGAAAUCCUGGGGCUCAACCCCAGAACUGCCUUUGAUACUGGCUGUCUCGAGGUCGAGAGAGGUUGGUGGAAUUCCUAGUGUAGAGGUGAAAUUCGUAGAUAUUAGGAAGAACACCAGUGGCGAAGGCGGCCAACUGGCUCGAUACUGACGCUGAGGUGCGAAAGCGUGGGGAGCAAACAGGAUUAGAUACCCUGUAGUCCCUGAGCGGGCUGGCAAGGCGCAU
rnacentral:rRNA from 1 species